AGAAGUCAAUACUGUUGUAUUCAGGUGCAGGGAUACACAUGCACAGAACAACUUGCAGGAUCAGGGCUCAUGAAACAAGGCUGGACUUUAACAACAGCAGCAACAACAAAAACUUCAGUCCAUUUUUGUUUCUCUAGAUUGUAAACCCCAAAGAGCAGAGAACUUUUCACUUGUAUGGCACGGCUCUUCUCCUGGACAAUGGCAGACACACUUGUGAUGAUAUAAACAAAGGCAUGGAACAUCUUAAUGCAGAAGACAGAAUUAAUGCAAUCCCUGAGAAGUACGGUGACCUUCAAAAGACCGUUGAACAAUGUAGCAGGCACAAAUAAUCUUUUGGGAAGUGGAAUUCCUAGGAUGUACCUGGGAGGAGGGAAUUGCAAACUGCCACCUAAAGACUCAGCCUUUGAAGCUUCAUCCUUUGUCUGCUACCACCUGUUACAAGAGGACAGAGCUUCAAAGACA